rnacentral:rRNA from 1 species
AGAGUUUGAGUCCUGGCUCAGGAUGAACGUUGGCGGCAUGAUUAACACAUGCAAGUCGAACGGGAAGUGGUGUUUCCAGUGGCGAACUGGUGAGUAACGCGUAAGAACCGUACCCUUGGGAGGGGAACAACAACUGGGAAAUGGUUGGCCUAAUACCCCAUAGGACUGAGGAAGCAAAAAGGAGAAAAUCCGGCCAAAGGUAGGGGCUCGCAUCUGAUUUAGCUAGUUGGUGAGGUAAUAGCUUAUCAAGGCGAUGAUCAGUAGCUGGUCCGAGAGGAUGAUCAGCCACACUGGGACUGAGACACGGCCUAGGACUCCUACGGGAGGCAGCAGUGGGGAAUUUUCCGCAAUGGGCGAAAGCCUGACGGAGCAAUGCCGCGUGGAGGUGGAAGGCCUACGGGUCGUCAACUUCUUUUCUCGGAGAAGAAACAAUGGCGGCAUCUGAGGAAUAAGCAUUGGCUAACUCUGUG